AAGGAGAAGGAGGGGAGAGGGCAUGUGGGAGAAGGGGAGAGGGCAUGUGGGAGAAGGGGUGAGGACAGUGAACAGACCGGGGAGUACCAGAAAGACCAGCUCUUCCCAAACAGCUUCUGCCAUGAUGCUUGCUUCAUGCUAAAUGACCCACAAACUUCAUUCAUGUGUGGGUUUGCCCUUGUGCCUUCUUGGUCCCCCAAGCAGGGACAGAGUUCUGUUCGGAGAAGCUGGAAUGGACCGAAAGCCAGGGAAGGAGCUGGUGGAAACCCAGGCAGGCCUCCCUCAAGUGGCAUGAUCUCAGGAAAUGGAAAUAUUGUACAAAGAAGCAAGAUGCCUGGCGCCAACUUCCAUGCUGUGCUGAAUGACAAAUCCAAGAUGGUUGGCCAGAACGCUCCACCCUGCAAUGGCAGACUAAACAGUGUUUUCAGUGCAGAUGGAACGUUCAUCAUAUGCUGGGCCAUGAAACUAGUCUCAAUAAAUCCAGCAGGAUUGAAAUCACAUACCGGGCUUCUCCAACAAAAUGCAAUUUAAUUAGAAAUCAGUAACUGAAACUGGAACUCUUCUACACUGCUGAGUCUCACCCUGAGGCCCAGGCCGGAGUG